UACAGAGGGGGCAAGCGUUGUUCGGAAUUACUGGGCGUAAAGGGCGCGUAGGCGGCCGCCUAAGUCAGACGUGAAAUCCCUCGGCUCAACCGGGGAACUGCGUCUGAUACUGGGUGGCUUGAAUCCGGGAGAGGGAUGCGGAAUUCCUGGUGUAGCGGUGAAAUGCGCAGAUAUCAGGAGGAACACCGGUGGCGAAGGCGGGUCUCUGGGCCGAUACUGACGCUGAGGAGCGAAAGCGUGGGGAGCGAACAGG
rnacentral:rRNA from 1 species